UACGUAGGUGGCAAGCGUUAUCCGGAAUUAUUGGCGUAAGCGCGCGCAGGCGGUUCUUAAGUCUGAUGUGAAGCCACGGCUCACGUGAGGUCAUUGAACUGGACUUGAGUGCAGAGAGAAGCGAUUCACGUGUAGCGUGAUGCGUAGAGAUGUGAGACACAGUGCGAGCGCUUUGUCUGUACUGACGCUGAGCGCGAGCGUGAGCACAGAUAGAUACAGUAUCAGACACGUCUCUGCUACGU
rnacentral:rRNA from 1 species